GAGAGGUUGUUGAGAUGUAUGUGGCA
rnacentral:piRNA from 1 species